UGCACUCAGCAAUGUAAAUUGCUCUGGAUAAGAGUAUCUGCUAAAUUACUAAAA
rfam:Salmo salar isolate Sally breed double haploid chromosome ssa15, whole genome shotgun sequence.